rnacentral:rRNA from 1 species
AGUGGCGAACGGGUGAGUAAUACAUCGGAACGUGCCUAGUAGUGGGGGAUAACUACUCGAAAGAGUAGCUAAUACCGCAUGAGAUCUAAGGAUGAAAGCAGGGGACCUUCGGGCCUUGUGCUACUAGAGCGGCUGAUGGCAGAUUAGGUAGUUGGUGGGAUAAAAGCUUACCAAGCCGACGAUCUGUAGCUGGUCUGAGAGGACGACCAGCCACACUGGGACUGAGACACGGCCCAGACUCCUACGGGAGGCAGCAGUGGGGAAUUUUGGACAAUGGGCGCAAGCCUGAUCCAGCAAUGCCGCGUGCAGGAUGAAGGCCUUCGGGUCGUAAAGCCCUGUCGGGAGGGAAGAAAUGAUUGUGAGCUAAUACCUCAUGGUCUUGACGGUACCUCCGAAGGAAGCACCGGCUAACUCCGUGCCAGCAGCCGCGGUAAUACGGAGGGUGCAAGCGUUGUUCGGAAUUAUUGGGCGUAAAGCGUGCGCAGGCGGUUUUGUAAGACAGAGGUGAAAUCCCCGGGCUCAACCUGGGAACUGCCUUUGUGACUGCAAGGCUGGAGUGCGGCAGAGGGAGAUGGAAUUCCGCGUGUAGCAGUGAAAUGCGU